UUACAAAUCGGUGGCCCAAACCAUCACCAAUACUCACCUGAUAAAAACCCUAGCUCCUCAUCGCGCCUCUAUAAAUAACAACGAACAAAUCUAUCAAAUUCAGUCGCAACUAUUUUAAUGGUUUAUACGUCCUUCGCUACUAGUCACCACCUUGAUAAAUCGUUGUUCUGAUCUCUGUUCUUACAUAUUUGAUGUUUUUUGGGCAAUCAAGUGAAUCAUCCAUCUUUCUUUUUGCAUUUUAAUCGGUUGUGAAAAGGUACCUUUCGACUUUCGUUGUAGUUGUAGAGGUGUUUUCCUCUAUUUGUUGAUUGAUAUCCUAUUUGAUGAUUUAGUGUAUUUUUCAUUGCAUCUUUUUGGCCGAUGAUUAAAUUCUAAUAAUAGACAAGCAUAUGUCUGAAUCUUACUAUGUUGUCAAAUCUAAUCUUCUCUAUGAGGCCAAGUAUCUAGAUCAUUGGUUUUAAUUUUCGAUUUAAAUCUAAGUAUUAAUUGAGAGCUUCAAAUGAUGAUCAUUUGCAUAGUUCAAAUGAUGUUCUUCUGUGAUUAUACAUCUCUUUUAGUCUUUCGCUCCUAUCUGAUGAUCUCUCAGUUAUUUUAGUGUUGUUUCUUUCAAAUUUUAGUUUUAUUUUAAUUGGCAUUUAGCAUCUUUUAUAUGGUUUUAUAAAUUAUUUCAAAUUGCUCUUUGAUCAAUGAUCGAUCAUUUUUAAUUGCAUUUAAUUUUAUAAUUAAUGAUCCUGAAAGUCUUCAUUUUUAAAUAAAGACUCAUAGUGUUUCUUAUUUAUAUAAUGUGUUUGUUUUAUUUAAUUACAUCCAUAAUAAGGAUGAUCUUUUUUUUCGUUUAAAGCAAAAUAUCCUUAUAAUCACUCCAAAUUACAUCAUGUUUUCGUUUUUAAUUUUGUGUAGAUGCAGGUUUAUGUAUAGAAGUAAUCUGAUUUUUUUGCGUUCUGAUCAUUUUUUUUGUUUUUAUGACAAUUUAAAUUUAAUAUUAAACUACGUUAUUUUUAAAAAAAUCUAAAUUGAGCGAAUCCAGCAAUAAAAAAAAUUAUGGGAACUUCAUUCUCUAUUGUUAAACCUUUUAACGAAAAUUUAUACCAAUGUCGCUGCGAAUUUGAUAAUUACAACUUCUAAUUUUUUAGAAGCACAACAAAUAGGUAAUAAAAAUCCAACAUUUUUUUCCUGUAUUUGUUGCUUGAAUGUUUGUAAGGUUAUCUAUAUAGUAUGCGGAUAUUAUAUAAAUUUUUCUUCACUAGGGAAAAGUAGUACAAUAUUCAUUUUCUGUUGGAAAAAAGAAAUACUAUCAUAUACAUCAACAACAUUUUGUCUCUCUCUAUAUAUAUAUAUAUAUAUAUAUAUAUAUAUAUAUAUAUAUAUAUAUAUAUAUAUAUAUAUAUAUAUAUAUCAUUGUAGAUUCUGGAUAUUCUGAUCGUUUAUGACUAUGAGCACUACUGCCAUCUCAUAAUUUUCUAAUUUUAUUGACAUCUAAACUUAAUAUGAUCACUUAAUAUGGUGAUAUGGAUUAAUAUGAUGAUAUGAAGUGGUAAGCUGUUUAAAAGAUAAAUAUUCUCUUUUUAAUUUUAUUUAACUAUUUAAAUAAAAUAAAUUGUAAAAAGGUAGAAAUUGCAAAACUAGUUACAAGUCUUGGGCCCUAUUUGAUAUAAUAAAUUAGCCGCAACACUUUUCUAUCUUAGAAAUCCUGUAGGAGACCCAAGGUAUGUAUAGGAACAGUGGAAAGGACUAAUUUUAAGAGAGAGCUUACCACCAAAAUAAAGAGAAACUUGGCCUUCCAUACAUUAAUCCUUUUUCAAAUAUUACAUUUCUAAAUCAUUAGAAUAUGAUGUUUUUCUUCUGCUUUCAACGACUAAGAAAUAAUGGUCUCGAACAUAUGGGAAGUCAGAUGAAAGCUUCGGUCCUUGAAUUAAUGGCUUAGCCCCUCAUGACGCGGAAAGUAUCGUCUGGCCGAGAAAGAAAUUGGAACAUAUAGCUGACUGAAAAUGGAAUCAAGCCUUUCCAAUAAUAUCAUUGCCCUUGGAGCCAUUGGAUAAAAAUUUGUGUGUAUGGAGAGACAUUAUAAGAAUCAAACUCAGGUCUUCUUUAGGGGUGAGUGUGUUGCGGUUUGAUGCGGUUAUUUGUUAAAAUCUCACCACCAACUGCAAAUGCGGUUAAUCCAUUUUCAAAAUCGUUUGAUGCGGUUAUUUUUGCAGUGCGAUUUUGUAUUUUCUGUGUUGUGGUUAUUAACCGCAUGGAUUUUGUGCAGUUAUUUUGUGUGGUUUUUAACCACAUUUUAGAGUUUAAACGAUUUUAAGAGUUCAAACAUAUUACUUAUAAUAAUAAAAAAAUUAUUAACUUAAAUCACAAACAAUAAUAUCUUAAAAACAUCAAAUCAGUAGUAAUUAAGAAAAAAUUUCUUAAAAGUGUUUAAUUUCAUUAUUUUUUAAAGUUAAACAUAACAAAAAACAUACUUUUUGUCUUUUAGUAUUUUAUUCAUCUUUCAUUCAUAAAACUUGUCUUAUUUUUAAUAUUUAAUAUAUUAAUAAUUAAUAAAAAAAGUUCUAUAUAACAUAUGCGGUGUGGUUUUUUUUGUGGUUUUUGAAAACUAAUAAUUGCACCGCAGCAUAAAUUUGUGGUUUUUGAAAAACAGAAAACUUCACAUCGGUUUUAUUGGUUGCGGUUUUUGCUGUUAAUUUUAGUUACGGUGUGGUUUUUUGCUCAACCCUACUCCUUUAUACAAAAAUGGUGUUUACAAGCAAGUUAGAGGGUUUUUUAUGGUUUAAGCCCAAAAUAAUAUAUUUAAUCUCUAUUAUUCUAGAAGUUUUUAUGAUGAUGAUUAUUAUUAAUCAUUAUAGUAUUAGGAUAAAAUAGUCAUUUUGUAUUAGUCAGCACAUUCAGUUAGAUGUAUAAUCAAACAAUGUUUUUUUUUUUUUUUUUUUUUUUUUUUUUUUUCAGUCAGACUUUAUUACUUAGACAAACAUUUUCUAGUUAAUGUUUUCAAUCAAAAACUAUCAAACAAUCCUUAUUUCUUCUCUUUUCUCUCGCUAAGCAACCAACAAGACCAUGUUUUAGCAACUGUUUAGCGAGGGUGCCAAGCUACUCCCUCCAACCUAACUCGAAGGAGAAAUGGUCUUUCUCAUGAUAUGACAUGUUAACUUGUUAGGCAAAGAGAAAGAGAAAGAGAAAGGGGGAAAUGGUUUUCCUGAUCUUAUAGAAAGGGAAAGAGAGAAAGAGAAAAGAAGGAAAUGGUUUUGUGAUAUGAGUGACUUACGGAGGUGUCACAUAAGCAGCUCCAUGCCGUUAAUAGGUAUGGCAACUUGACGUUAUCAUCAGUAUGGUUCUAAAUAACGUAAGGCGUGACUUGGCGGCAAUGUCAAGCCUCAAGCUUUUUCGAGCCUUGGCGAGCCACGUCAUUUGUAAGGCGUAACUUAAGGCGAUAAUUUUUUAAAUAAUUAAUAUUUUUAUAUGUAUUUUCAACUAUUAUUUUAUUUUAUACACAUAUAUGAGUUAAGACGGUGUUUUGGUAAAGCUUGGCGGCAGAUACAAGCCUUGGAGCCAUGACGAGCUUUUUAGAACCUUGAUCACCAGUAUCUCCCAAAAAAACAUGCAACCCGUGUCUUGACCAUGGAAUGUUCGACGAAUUUGCCUUAUCUUUAAGGUUAUUGUUGUAAUUAGGUACAGAAUUGAGCAAUUAAUUUGAAAGAGGCCGAAACUAAAAAUACUAUUCUUCUAAAAAUAAGGGGGCAAGAAGCAUUUUUUGUCCUUAAUAUGCUCUACCUAGGGAUGAGCAUAUGGACCGGGGAACCGGCCGGAACCGGUACCGGAACCGGAACCGGCACCGGAACCGGAACCCGAUGGAACCGGUCGGGCCGGGACCGGGACAUUAUUUUUGUGGAGUUUUGGAACCGGGAACCGGUAGGAACCGGAACCGAUUUAACCGAAACCGGUAGAGCUGGCAAAAAACGGUAGAACCGGCAAAAACCGGAACCGUAUGAUGCUAUUUUUCAAGGAGUGGUUCCAACAUUUGAAGACACGACAAGAACCGGUAGGAACCGGGAACCGGUAGAACCGCCGGGCCGGUUCGGUUCUUGAUUUUUGCCAAAGCCGGCUCCCCGGUCCGGUCCGAUUCGGGCCGGUUCCGGCCGGUUCGGUCCUUUUGCUCAUCCCUAGCUCUACCCAUGGUUGUAAUGAUUGGUGUUUUUGUUGUGAUACAAAUGAUUUUUUUGUCCUAGUGUUAGUAGUAAAAGGCUCGUCUUAAAGGUGGGCGAUAGGGGCGACCAUUCAGUGCCUAUCUUUUAAAGGGACCUAUUUUUUUUUUAAGAAAUUGUUAUAUUUAGAAGAUAGUACAAGUAAUUUCUUUCGAUCA